rnacentral:rRNA from 1 species
UACGUAGGGGGCUAGCGUUAUCCGGAAUUACUGGGCGUAAAGGGUGCGUAGGCGGUCUUUCAAGCCAGAAGUGAAAGGCUACGGCUCAACCGUAGUAAGCUUUUGGAACUGUAAGACUUGAGUGCAGGAGAGGAGAGUGGAAUUCCUAGUGUAGCGGUGAAAUGCGUAGAGAUUAGGAAGAACACCAGUGGCGAAGGCGAUUCUCUGGACUGUAACUGACGCUGAGGCUCGAAAGCGUGGGGAGCAAACAGGAUUAGAUACCCCUGUAGUCCCUGA